UAGAACUUAAAAACCAAGGAAAUCAGAUGUGACUGUACUGCUUCAAUGAUUUUCUUUUGUAUUUGUAUUUAAGCUUCUGCUUAUAGGUAGCCUACAUGAUUUGGCUUAUGCCUGCCUUUUGUACAUUAUCUUUUGUCAUUCUCACCCUUGUUUACUAGGAUUCAUGGAACUGGUCAUUUUUCCUUCCUGAUUCCUUUAACAUGAAAUAUUUGAAUACAUUAGAGAAAAUUUAGAAAAUAUAG